rnacentral:rRNA from 1 species
GAUUAGAUACCCUGGUAGUCCACGCCCUAAACGAUGUACACUAGUUGUUGGGGUGCUAGUCAUCUCAGUAAUGCAGCUAACGCAUUAAGUGUACCGCCUGGGGAGUACGGUCGCAAGAUUAAAACUCAAAGGAAUAGACGGGGACCCGCACAAGCGGUGGAGCAUGUGGUUUAAUUCGAAGAUACGCGAAGAACCUUACCUGGGCUUGAUAUCCUAAGAACCUUUUAGAGAUAAGAGGGUGCUAGCUUGCUAGAACUUAGAGACAGGUGCUGCACGGCUGUCGUCAGCUCGUGUCGUGAGAUGUUGGGUUAAGUCCCGCAACGAGCGCAACCCACGUAUUUAGUUGCUAACGGUUCGGCCGAGCACUCUAAAUAGACUGCCUUCGUAAGGAGGAGGAAGGUGUGGACGACGUCAAGUCAUCAUGGCCCUUAUGCCCAGGGCGACACACGUGCUACAAUGGCAUAUACAAUGAGACGCAAUACCGCGAGGUGGAGCAAAUCUAUAAAAUAUGUCCCAGUUCGGAUUGUUCUCUGCAACUCGAGAGCAUGAAGCCGGAAUCGCUAGUAAUCGUAGAUCAGCCAUGCUACGGUGAAUACGUUCCCGGGUCUUGUACUCACCGCCCGUCACACCAUGGGAGUUGAUUUCACUCGAAGCCGGAAUACUAAACUAGUUACCGUCCACAGUGGAAUCAGCGACUGGGGUGAAGUCGUAACAAGGUAACCGUAGGAGAACCUGCGGUUGGAUCACCUCCUUUCUA